AAUGUUUGAAUCACAGGAGAAACUCCUGACAGUUUAUGGCUUAUUGGAUAUUUGUAAAUCUACCUCUUGGUGAAAAAAUCUCUCUACAUUAAUGUCUGGUAUAGUACAGGCUUCAGUUAGUAUAAUUAGCUGAAAUGAAAAAUCAUACACUCAGGGAAAAAAAAUGUGGAAAUCAGGCUUGAUAGGCUCUGGUAAUCCUCAGGCUACCUCUUAUCUGAUCAUGUCCAGCCAUCAGACAGAUAUCUUCCAGACCUUGCUCAUUGUUUCUUUUUCAGUGUUUGUUUUUAUAAAGUUUUUAUAAUGACAUUGGUGUCGAUAUUCAGAUAUUUUUCUAGUAUUUGCCAUUAGCCGUGCAAGCUUUUUUUGAUGUGGCACUAGACAGAUUUAUAAAAUGUUUUACUUAUUCAAUAGUAAUUUGUCCCUGGAUUAUUACUACUUAGAUUCUGCUUUGUUCUGAAUGAUUCUUUCUCUAAUUUGUAUAUUCCUUGGCUCUUAACAUUUUUUAGCUUUUUAAAAAAUUUAUCAUCCUCCAAUAUCCCAUUUCUCUUUGCGUAAUAGCAGGUCUGAAAAGAAGUUCAAAGGACACAAAAGAAUUUACUACAGUGAAUAACAGUGGAAUAGUGACAGUAAGGAAAUACUGAAGGAGGUUUUUUCUGGCUAACAAGGAAAAUCUCUUGUUCAGCUUUCAUGGCUGUUUUGGAUUAAGCUUCUAGUGCAAACACUUUACUAGGAUGCUGUGGUAGACAUCUGUAAUCUGACUGUAUUUCACACUGACAAAUAUCCUAUUUGUUGUUGGGAUUCUUUUAGUUAAAUACUGUAGUUUUUUUUCUUUGCAAUUAAAAGCUGCAGUUCACUGGUCAGGUAACAUCAGCUUUUAGGUUUACAGUGAAAUACCUUUUUUUUUUCUGAAUUAUCAAUGUAGAAUUGGAAAACAUUCCAGAAACAGAGAUAAUAUAGUAACCAUUUUUUUAACAACCUUCUGUUAAGCCUGUGACUAUUUUUUUUUUAUUUAUUUAUUUAUUUCCACUAAUGAAACAGAUGUUCUGCCUUUCUAGUAUGUAAGCACCAGUUAAAAUUUACAGUAGCUUUCAGGGAAGGAAUGGUGGGUUUCAAGAUACCAUUUAUUUUUUUUUCUCCAACGUUUAUAAUGCAGUGCAUAAUUUCUCCAGUAUAUUUUACUUAUAUCACUGGAGGUGUUUGUUUAAGCAUCCCAAACUGUUAUGAAAUUUUGCAUAUAGUUUUACUGAGCUUUUUACCUCUGAUUGUAAAUUGAAUACAAUGUUGUACAACACAACCUGAAGGGUUCUGAUCUAGCCAUUUCUACUUACAAGCAGAAGACUAUCAUCAGAAGAACAGAUCUAAUUAUUUGUCAGGUUGUCAGAGUAGUAGGACAAGCAUUUUUCUUUCUUUUUAAAUGGGAGCUGUGUCUUUAAGUAUGAUGUCAAUUUACCCAAAGCGACUCUUAUACAUGUAACAAGAAAAAUGACAGCUUCAGUUAGAUUUACAGACAUUAUGUAACCAUUAAUAGGAGCAUAAAGAAUUGGGUAGCUAUUGAUACUGGUUUCUACAGAGUUUUACCAACUUACUUUGGGGUUUUAUUUACAGUUUGGUGAAUAUUGGCUGGUAUUGAAUAUAUGUUCUAACUUCUUGUAACCUGUCAAUUACAUUAGUGGAAAGAGCCAUAUUGCACAGGAUGAAUCUGGGAAGCAAGAAGGCUUCAGUUUGUCAUGUCCUGGUUGCUGCAUGUCUUGCCAAACACAACUUUCUAGAAAAAAAAAGGGAAGAGAUUGGCUCCUUUGUGGGAGAGGAUGGAAAUAUUCAGGGGAUGAUGUUCAGAAUGCAGAUUGAGAAAAAACAAUACAGUAUGAAUAAUUAUUGUCGUUUGCAACCAUAUGAUCCUGAGAAUCUUCUGAGGUAGAAGCAAAGAAACCU